rnacentral:tRNA from 1 species
GGGUCGUUAGCUCAGUUGGUAGAGCAGUUGACUUUUAAUCAAUUGAUAGUUAGUUGUAGUAUCCA